ACCAUUAACCAAUGUUUAUUAUAUGUAUGUAUUUAUACAUAUGUAUGUGUAUGACGUCAGAAACCAAUGAUUACACGAGGUGACAAACUAUUUACUUAUAAUUAACUAUAAUAGUUCAUCAUAACUUUUUAGAUAUUAUAUAUUUAUAUAUGUGAUACAACUUGGGUAGCUAUUUAUUGGGCGGCUUUCCCUCCCCAUAAGGUUUUGGGAGAUUUCUGGACAAGAUAACUUGAAGUCGCGUGUCUCAUCUGGUUCAACUUCAACCAGGCAAAUCUCAAGCUGGUUAUUUGUGGAUGCGGUAUAUACGUACAUGUAUAGUAUGUAUAUACAUACACUCAGAUUCCCCAGCAUUCGUUCAUAUGGGGACACAAAGGAGAUUAUUAUCACCGUCGUCGUCGUCGUCGUCGUCAUAUCAAUAACAUGAUACAGAAAAAUAUUAUAAGGGCAUAUGACUUCCAGUAGCUUCGAUUGCAGGAUAGGCUGGGCGUUCUCGUUCCUUCUCUAAAUUUGGACCACCAAACAUCAAUUUGGUUUAAUUAGAUUUUCAUGUUAGUAUUUCUAUUUUCUUUAUGAAUAUAUAAAUUUGAUUUGAAUUAUUAAAAUAUAUAAAUUUAAUUUAAUUAUAAUUUUUUAAUGUAAGCAUUUUAAGAUAUCGUAGUUUUUUUUUUUUAAAUCAAAGUAUUACCUCAAUAUGUAUUUUCUUUUUUUAUUUUGAAUUAAAAUGAAAAAGGAAAGAAAUAAACGAGGGCCAUAAAUGAGGUCAAGUACGGUAGAUAUUUCGAAAACAAAUUACCGGGUACGGGUUGGACCACAUGGAUCUCAUGAAAAGUAACAGCCACGUUAAAUUUAUAUUCAAAAUAAUUUUUUUAUGAUUAACAUUAAUUUAAUUUAGGGUUUAAUACGCCC
rnacentral:lncRNA from 1 species